rnacentral:rRNA from 1 species
AGGCCUUGACAUGCAGAGAACUUUCCAGAGAUGGAUUGGUGCCUUCGGGAACUCUGACACAGGUGCUGCAUGGCCGUCGUCAGCUCGUGUCGUGAGAUGUUGGGUUAAGUCCGUAACGAGCGCAACCCUUGUCCUUAGUUACCAGCACGUUAUGGUGGCACUCUAAGGAGACUGCCGGUGACAAACCGGAGGAAGGUGGGGAUGACGUCAAGUCAUCAUGGCCCUUACGGCCUGGGCUACACACGUGCUACAAUGGUCGGUACAAAGGGUUGCCAAGCCGCGAGGUGGAGCUAAUCCCAUAAAACCGAUCGUAGUCCGGAUCGCAGUCUGCAACUCGACUGCGUGAAGUCGGAAUCGCUAGUAAUCGUGAAUCAGAAUGUCACGGUGAAUACGUUCCCGGGCCUU